rnacentral:misc_RNA from 1 species
AAUUCUCAACCUUACCAGCUUUGCUGCUGGUAUGGCUUGGAUGUGGGGGUUUUUGCAGGCUUUCACAAGUCAGCUCCCCUGAAAUGUAUUAGCGGUACCCUUGUGGUAAACGGCUAUUGGUGUGAUAAUUAUCUACGCCAUUUGGUCGCCCACAUAUUAAAAGGGUUAUGCUGCUUCUAACCGUCCAUUGACUUGGACAAUACAAUGACAA